rnacentral:tRNA from 1 species
GCGUCUGUGGUGUAGCGGUCAGCACGACGGUCUAAAACCGUAGACCCGGGUUCGAUUCCCGGCGGAUGCC